rnacentral:misc_RNA from 1 species
AGGGGGAGGGGUGUUUAAUAAACAAAAAAAACGAUAAGGAAAGGGGAGAAAAAUACAGUACAGAUUUGCAGCAAAGACGCACAGGUUUUUGAGCAUUGUGUCGGUGUGUCUCUCUCACGCCGACAAUACAUCACGCGCUCACGCUUGCUGACACGGUAGAGGCCUACUCGAGUUGCCAUCUGCGAGUUUGCACACACAAACACACACAGAGCGCUCACCUACCGUGAAGAAAAAGAAUUACAUAGGUUAAGGGUCGACUUGUAUCCUUCUUGACUUUGAGUAUUCGGGCUUCGCCAUUCCAACCGACAUACACACACACACACACAGGUCCACAGAGGCAGAUAAGCUUCGACGACGGUGGGGUGAGUGCAAGCCCUCUUGUGCCUAUCCAUGACUUCCAUUGCAUCACAGAUCCUUGCGGCUCUGGCGGCUGCCUCCAGCCCUGUCGCCGAGACGCGCCAUGCAGGUGAUCUCCAGCUCCAGCAGCUGAAGCUGAACGCCACCGCCUACUUCUCCAGCUGUGCGGAAAUCUUCGUCUCGCAGCAGGCUGAUCUACGCGGGCGGCAGCUAGUGGGCUUCCAGCUCAAGAAUAGUCUCGCAGACCCUGCAUGUGCACAGAACGCGCAACUUCAAUCGGCGGUGUGCGAGCAGGCGGUCGCCGACCCGCAGCGCAUCAUCCGAAACGUCGCCGGCAGUAUUAUUAGCGUGGCCGUGCGCGAGGGACUGUGGCCUGCGGAAGCGGUCGUCCGACAACUCGGUACCAUUCUCACCCAGCGGAGCAACGAACUUGGCGCGGUGCACGGUGCCAUCCGCACCUUGUCGUACAUCGUUGACGAUGCGAUGCCGCUGCUCGAUGCCGCGGGGCUGACAAAGCCGGUGCUGCUCGCUGCGCUGCCGUACCUCACGUCCACCGUCUUUGGCACGACCGGAGCAGAUGCGCUCGAGACACGCGUCAAGGCCCUCGAGGUUGUCGCACUGAUUUUGGAACACGCGGGUAUGGACUUCGAGUCGAACAGCUACAAGAGUCUGCAGGGCGGCAUCACCAGCGUCGUGCAGGCGUGCUUCGACAACCUAAAGGCACCCCUCUCUCAAGCCAUUGCCACACAGUGCAUUCGCUGCAUUACGUUGUCCCUCACGUUCUACCAAGAGAUUGACGACGACCUGUUUGGGCAGAUCGGGCAGCUCAUGUACCAGGCGACCACUGCAGGCAACGGGGCUGCCCCGGCCAACGCAGAGGAGGAGAGUCUCCGUAUUGAGGCGACGGAGUUCUGGCGCGCCAUCUUGCACUUCCCUCACUUUGCUGAGGUGGCCCAGUCGACUGUCGUGCAAAUAAUUCCGGUGAUCAUUCGGUCGAUGAUCUACUCCGAGAUGGAGAUCGGUAUGCUGCAGGCGAGCGCCGAGGACUGGCAGGUGCCGGACAAGAUCGACUCGAUUCGUCCGCGCCACUACACAGAGCUCAACAAGGCCGCUGGCGACGGCGGCAACGACGAGGAGGAGGAUGACGGCGAGGACGACGACGAGGUGGAGGAGUGGAACCUGCGCCGCGUUUCGGCGUUGACGUUAGAUGAACUCAGUCAGUACUACGGCGACCUUCUUCUUCUGCCAGUGCUGAGCUGUGUCGAGGGGAUGAUACGGUCUGGGCCGGCCGGCUGGCGCCAGCAGGAGGCCGGCGUGCUUGCAAUCGGUGCAUUUUGCGAGGGUUGCUACGACUCCCUGGUGCAGUUUCUGCCUGAUAUUUGCCCGAUGCUUCUGCAGCUGCUCGAGGCGGCUGAUACGCAUUUUCUCGUAGUGAGCAUUUCGCUCUGGUCAUGUACUCGCCUCGGCAGCUACUUCCUCUCGAACCAUCCGUUGAUGGAGCGGCUGAUGGCGUGCAUUCUGCGGAAGAUGGAGAACGCGUCCAAGAUGGUGCAGAGCGCCGCCGUCGAGGCGCUGCGCAGCAUGCUGGAAAUGGCGGAGGAAGGCCAGGUGGACGCGGCUGCCCCGGCGAUUGUGCGUUCCAUCGCGACAUGCUUCGGCGCCUAUCAGCUCAAGAACCGCGUGCUUCUCUUGGAGGCAGUGCAGUCUGUCUGCCAGACCCUGGGCGCUGCUGUGCGUGGCAGCGAGGAACUCAUCUCUACCCUUCUUGCGCCGCUGGGCCAACUAUGGUCGCAGACUCCGAAUGACAGCCCCCUGCUGUGGAGCCUGUUCGACUGCAUGGCAACCGUGUGCGCCACGCUUGGGCCCGCGAUGCAGCCCAUGACUGGCGAGAUCUUCAACCGCAGCUUCUCGCUCCUGCGUGAGCACCUGCAGCAGCGACACGCCGCCCUUCAGUCGGGCGACAUUCCGCCGGAUGAGGAGUUCACUGUGACCUCGUCUAUCUUGCUGAGUGGACUCUUUGACGCCAUGGGGUCGGGACUGGAGCCUUUGGUGGCUCAGAAUGAGCCGGUAUUCAUGCAGCUGACGCUCUCCAUGCUCUCCGACGCGUCACCUCACAUUCGGCAGAACGGCUUCUGCCUCGCGAGCGAUGUGGCACGCACGUGCCCGACGCACUUGCAGCAGGUGCUCCCCCAGUUCUGCGACGUGGCGGUGCAGAAUGUCACGAUGGCCGACGAGUCGUGCUACGCGGUGGUCAGCAAUGUUGCCUGGGCGGUAUGCAACUUGCUGGAGCAUGAAGUGGAUGGCACUGGCGCUCCGACGAUGCAGGCAAGCCCGACCAUGUCGCAGCUGUUUGCACUCUUUGCGAAGUUGCUGGGACAGACCGACAUCACGUCGGAUAUGCGCAACAUGGCAGAGAAUGUGUCGCUGUGCCUCGGCGUCAUGCUGUACGUCGACGCCGACGUGGAGUCGAAGGCGGGCUGCUCCGUGGAGCUCUUUGCAGGUGCGUUUUGCCGCUUCGUGCGCAACGUCCGCGAGUCAUCGUCGCUGCUGGAGGCGGGCACGAACGGUUUUCUGAUGGCAGUGCAGCGGAAGCCGAGUGCUGUUGUGAGCAAUCUUGUGCUCUUCUGCGAUCUUGGUUGCUCCGUGGCAGUGGAGGGCGUGGAGGCAAGCCGCAUGAUCCGUGAUCUGCUUUCGAACGCUUCACGAGCGAACCCCGACGUGUGGCGCCAGGCGCUUGCCGCCUGCACAGAGCCCACCCGCAAGAAGCUGUACGAACGGUACGGCUUUCAGUAGGGUGGGAGAGGGCGAGAAGUCUGUUGUGGUUGAGGCAGAGGUGUGCCGCCGUCGUCAGCUGACCAUGAACAGGCGGAAGAAAAAAGAAAAUAUAACAAAGGAUAUGGAAGGCAGACGUGACAUUCACGGUCACCAACGGUGGACUCUGUGCAAGAAACAGCCCACCGUUGGCGUGCGUUUGGGCACGCCUGCAUAUCGGGUUGUUCCUUCACUUUUUUUCUUUCGGUUCUAUGUUUGCACACGCCGCACCUCCGUUCUUCGAUCCCUUUUGUUUGUGUUUUGUGAGCUCCUCUUCUGUUCCCGCUCCAGCAGUGGCCUCGUUAAUUCUGUUCUCUCCUCGGUUCAACGAACAACACCAAGACGACAAAAAAGUGGAAUUCAAGCCGAGAGAUGGGAGAGUUCGUGCGUGCGGUGGUGUUGUAAGUAUGUCUUUGUACCUGUGUAAUUGGGUCUUGCCGUCUAAUGGAGAGAGGAGGGUGGGGCAGCAAGCUGAGGGAGGGAGGUGUGUGUGUGUGUGGUUGGUUUCUGCCCAUCUUUCCGUUCAUCAUCUACCUGUUGUCGCCACGUCCCCAUCUGUCUUCGCUGCGCCCCACCUUUCUUUUUCUCUGAUCUUGCGUCAUUGUCUUUUCAUUGGUAUCCGUGUACGGCAG